AUUGAACGCUGGCGGCAGGCCUAACACAUGCAAGUCGAGCGAGCGGCGGACGGGUGAGUAAUGUAUCGGGACAGCCCGUGAGGGGGGGAGAACUAAUGGAGACGGUGGAGAAUACCGCAUACUGCCUGAGAACCAAUAGGGGAUUGGAUAGUAGGUAAGGUAAUGGCGUACAUCGGCGCCGAUCCCUAGCUGGUCUGAGAGGAGGAGCAGCCACACUGGGACUGAGACACGGCCCAGCCUCCUACGGAGGCAGCAGUGGGAAAUAUUGCACAAUGGGCGCAAGCCUGAUGCAGCCAUGCCGCGUGUAUGAAGAAGGCCCUAGGGUUGUAAAGUACUUUCAGUCAGGAGGCGUUACCGACAGAAGAAGCACCGGCUAACUCCGUGCCAGCAGCCGCGGUAAUAC
rnacentral:rRNA from 1 species